rnacentral:rRNA from 1 species
GACGAACGCUGGCGGCGUGCUUAACACAUGCAAGUCGAACGGUGAAGCGCCUUCCUUUUUGGUGGGUGUGGAUGAGUGGCGAACGGGUGAGUAACACGUGAGUAACCUGCCCCCUUCUUCUGGAUAACCGCAUGAAAGUGUGGCUAAUACGGGAUAUUCUGGGUCUGUCGCAUGAUGGGUCUGUGAAAGAUAUUGUUUCGGUGGGGGAUGGGCUCGCGGCCUAUCAGCUUGUUGGUGGGGUGAUGGCCUACCAAGGCGGUGACGGGUAGCCGGCCUGAGGGGGUGGACGGUCACACGGGGGCUGAGACACGGCCCAGACUCCUACGGGAGGCAGCAGUGGGGAAUAGUGCACAGUGGGCGCAAGCCUGAUGCAGCGACGCCGCGUGAGGGAUGGAGGCCUUCGGGUUGUGAACCUCUUUCGCCAGUGAAGCAGGCCUGCCUCGUUUGUGGGUGGGUUGACGGUAGCUGGAUAAGAAGCGCCGGCUAACUACGUG